AUGUCCUGCUCGUGAUCGUCGUCUCAGCCUUCACCGGCAGGCGGCACAACGAAGGGCUCCUGCAAGGGCGUGACUCGCAGGAGCCCUUC
rnacentral:ncRNA from 1 species